UACGUAGGGGGCAAGCGUUGUCCGGAAUCAUUGGGCGUAAAGAGCGUGUAGGCGGCCAGAUAAGUCCGCUGUGAAAUCUCGAGGCUCAACUUCGAGCUGUCGGUGGAAACUGUCUGGCUAGAGUCCGGAAGAGGAGAAUGGAAUUCCUGGUGUAGCGGUGAAAUGCGCAGAUAUCAGGAAGAACACCCGUGGCGAAGGCGGUUCUCUGGGACGUAACUGACGCUGAGACGCGAAAGCGUGGGGAGCAAACAGG
rnacentral:rRNA from 1 species